CGAUCUGGCUCAGAACGAACGCUGGCGGCGCGUCUUAAGCAUGCAAGUCGAACGGCAAGAGGUAGCAAUACCUCCUAGAGUGGCGGACUGGUGAGUAACACGUGGGUGACAUACCCUUCAGAUGGGGGAUAGCUAUUAGAAAUAGUAGAUAAUACCGAAUACGAGCACAGGGGUUAGAGAUCUGUGAGGAAAGGAGCUAAGGCUCCGCUGAAGGAAUGGCCUGCGGCCCAUUAGCUAGUGGUGAGGUAAGAGCCCACCAAGGCGAUGAUGGGUAUCCGGCCUUAGAGGGUGAACGGACACAUUGGGACUGAGAUACGGCCCAGACUCCUACGGGAGGCAGCAGCUAAGAAUAUUCCGCAAUGGACGAAAGUCUGACGGAGCGACGCCGCGUGGAUGAAGAAGGCCGGAAGGUUGUAAAAUCCUUUUGAAACUGAAGAAUAAGCGUUGUAGGGAAUGACAGCGUGGUGACAGUAGGUUUUGAAUAAGCAACGGCUAAUUACGUGCCAGCAGCCGC
rnacentral:rRNA from 1 species